GACGAACGCUGGCGGCGUGCCUAAAACAUGCAAGUCGAACGGAGUAGCAAUACUCAGUGGCGAACGGCGGAGUAAUACAUGAACAACGUGCCCCAAAGACUGGGAUAGUCAUUGGAAACGAUGGGUAAUACCAGAUGUGGCGGAUCUUUGGCAUCUUAGAUCCACUAAACGGUUUAUCGCUUUGGGAGCGGUUCAUGGCCUAUCAGGUAGUUGGUGAGGUAAUGGCUCACCAAGCCGACGACGGGUAGCGGGUCUGAGAGGAUGAUCCGCUCGAGUGGGACUGAGACACGGCCCACACACCUACGGGUGGCAGCAGUUGGGAAUCUUGCACAAUGGGGGAAACCCUGAUGCAGCGACGCCGCGUGGAGGAUGACGGGUCUAGGCCUGUAAACUCCUUUGACAGGAAAGACUUAGGACGGUACCUGUCGAAUAAGGACCGGCUAACUACGUGCCAGCCGCCGCGGUAAU
rnacentral:rRNA from 1 species